CCUACGGGGGGCAGCAGUGGGGAAUAUUGGGCAAUGGGCGCAAGCCUGACCCAGCAACGCCGCGUGAAGGAAGAAGGCUUUCGGGUUGUAAACUUCUUUUCUGAGGGACGAAGAAAGUGACGGUACCUCAGGAAUAAGCCACGGCUAACUACGUGCCAGCAGCCGCGGUAAUACGUAGGUGGCAAGCGUUAUCCGGAUUUAUUGGGUGGAAAGGGCGUGUAGGCGGGAAAGCAAGUCAGAUGUGAAAACUUAGGGCUCAACCCUGAGCCUGCAUUUGAAACUGUUUUUCUAGAGUGCUGGAGAGGCAAGCGGAAUUCGUGGUGUAGCGGUGAAAUGCGUAGAGAUACGGAGGAACACCAGUGGCGAAGGCGGAUUGCUGGACAGUAAAUGACGCUGAGGCGUGAAAGCGUGGGGAGCAAACAGGAUUAGAGACCCCGGUAGUC
rnacentral:rRNA from 1 species